CUGGAUCUAGACCCAUCAAAGACUUGUUUCAGUUAAACAUGUUGCAAACUCUAUAUGAGAAAUUGGGUUAGCAAAAGUGGAACUCCACAGCGCCAUCUGGUGUCACAGUGUUAGAAUGCAUAAACAACGCAUAUAAAGUGCUUUUUCUUUGCCAGUGUAGCUGAAUCCCAGUAACAGAAUUAUGUGGACGUCUAUAUAAAACUAGGCAUUGGGGGGGGGAGGAGUUCUCACUCAUUGAUGAUUUAGUUGUUGGCAGACCUCUCAAAGUAUGAUGCAGCUACUCGCCUAGGAAAAGUAAAAAAGGAAAUGUACAUUAUCUGGGCUUAUUAGCCCAGGAACGUAGACCCCAGCAUUGACAUACAGAAACAGAAAGAAAACAUCUUCAGAAAUAAGGUAAUUAUCAUAUGACCUUCAGAUAUCAUAAUUUCACACAUAUAAUGCAGGAAAGGGAGUGUUGGCUUGUUCUGCAUGUGACAAUGAAGGCCGAAGGUACAGAGUUUGAAUAACCCCCACAGAAAUUGCAACGCAGCUGCCUAUUUUCAUGCACAAAGCCCAACCUAUUCUGGCCAUGCAGAUGUGGAAGUUAUAGAAUCUGCAGGAAUCCACUGAAAACAGGAAAUGUCAGUAGAAGUCCACAAGGAGGCACACAAAAGCCACUUUUCUGAAUACAAAUCCUGUUCAUUUGCAUUUCGUUUACUAAAAAUGGCAACAGUUUUAGUUUCAUUUCUCCAGAUUCUUUUCUUUAAGCUUUCCUCCCUUUAUCUGACCUGCCUGCCUUCAGCUUUAGUUUCAUUCACCUUCGUUUUGCUGUUAAGAAGGAGAACUGACUAAGAUUGAUCUUUGCCAGCGACUUGCCGGUGUUUGAGAAGAAACAUCCCUCAGAAAAUGGAGCUGGAAGCGAAAACUAAUGACUUGACUAUCCUGGUCCACAACCAGGGUUACGACGAUGUCACGGUUGCAGUCAGUGCCAGGCCAAUAUACAAACUGCUGGAUGGCAACGUGGUUUUCUUCUGGUUGCAAUGGCUUUGGUCCAGCAUUGCCACCACAGACGUUGGCCCAAAAGCUAAAAAGAAAGUAAAUACGGUGACCAGCUGGAAUAUGAUCACUCACCAGUUGGGAAGCUGGGGGUGGAGACUUUAUAACAUUACCGUGCGGAGGAAGGUGGAUGGAUAUGUUGCUACAUGUACAACUCCACUGGAUUGCACUUGGAUAGUUGAAGAAAGGGGGAUACACCAAGAAGGUGCUGCUGAAAGAAACUACUGCAAAUUUGAACCACCUGCCAACAGUCAACAGAUCAGCAUAGUAUAACCAACAAAGAACAUCACAACAUAUUGGGCUUCACAACCUUCUACAAGAAUAAAAGUUACCAACAUCUGUAUUGGCUCAGUUCAAUAAAUCAUUCCAUAAAUUCA